rnacentral:rRNA from 1 species
GAUGAACGCUAGCUACAGGCUUAACGCAUGCAAGUCGAGGGGAAACGAUAGAGAAAGCUUGCUUUUUCUAGGCGUCGACCGGCGCACGGGUGAGUAACGCGUAUCCAACCUGCCCAUCACUUGGGGAUAACCUUGCGAAAGUAAGACCAAUACCCAAUGAUAUCUCUAGAAGACAUCUGAAAGAGAUUAAAGAUUUAUCGGUGAUGGAUGGGGAUGCGUCUGAUUAGCUUGUUGGCGGGGUAACGGCCCACCAAGGCGACGAUCAGUAGGGGUUCUGAGAGGAAGGUCCCCCACAUUGGAACUGAGACACGGUCCAAACUCCUACGGGAGGCAGCAGUGAGGAGUAUUGGUCAAUGGACGAGAGACUGAACCAGCCAAGUAGCGUGCAGGAUGACGGCCCUAUGGGUUGUAAACUGCUUUUAUAAGGGAAUAAAGUGAGUCUCGUGAGACUUUUUGCAUGUACCUUAUGAAUAAGGACCGGCUAAUUCCGUGCCAGCAGCCGCAGUAA